rnacentral:rRNA from 1 species
AUUGAACGCUGGCGGCAUGCUUUACACAUGCAAGUCGAACGGCAGCGCGGGCUUCGGCCUGGCGGCGAGUGGCGAACGGGUGAGUAAUGCAUCGGAACGUGCCCAGUAGUGGGGGAUAGCCCGGCGAAAGCCGGAUUAAUACCGCAUACGACCUGAGGGUGAAAGCGGGGGACCGAAAGGCCUCGCGCUAUUGGAGCGGCCGAUGUCGGAUUAGCGAGGUGGUGGGGUAAAGGCUUACCAAGGCGACGAGCCGUAGCUGGUCUGAGAGGACGACCAGCCACAGCGCGACUGAGACACGGCGCACCGUCCGGCGGGAGGCAGGCGUGGGGAAUUGUGGACGGGCGGGACCACCCGGAGCAGCACAGGCGGCGUGCGGGACGCAUCCCUUCUGUUUCUAACCCGCUUUUGUUCGGUAACACCUCCUCUGUGAUAACCCCCCGGGGGGAUGCCGGUAGAGGAAAACUACGCCCCGGCUCACUACGUCCCAGCAGCCGCGGUAAUAAUGGGAACAGCCCACGUCCUGAAC